GAGCAGGGCGAGGAGGAGGGCGCCGGAACGCAUGGUGGCCGGCUCUGUUCUCUCCGCCUCGAUGGACUGCUCGGACAGUGUGAACCAACUCCAGCCGGUGGUUGGUUGGCUUCUUGGAGGGGCAAUGGAGGGAGAGGAGGGGAGGCGUGGAUGGCGCUGGGCUUAUAUGCGUGUGUGUGCCGAUGACGGGGCCUAUCUAUCGGCUGGACGGGCGGGCGGACGGCGCCGGUGCCCGGGUGGCAACGUGUUCUUGGUUUCUGGAAUCUCUUGCGCCUGUUUAACCGCUCUCGUUUGAUCGAUCUUUCCCCUCCCUUUUGGAUUACCGGAUGUUGUUUACCGCUGGAGGUGGAAGAGGAGGGGGAGAGGCGGCGUGGAGGGAAUGGUGAAACUGUGAAGCGGAAAGCAGAGGAGGCGUGUGCCGUGCCGUGAUGCUGGGGUGGGGGGGGGUGGGGGGGNNNN
rnacentral:lncRNA from 1 species